UUCCCCUGGCAAUGGACAAAGAGACGGCUUGUUGGUGAUGUUGUUUUAUCAGGCAGGGGCAGUGAAGAUGGAGGUCCUUUGUUUAUCCUAGCUUCAUGGCUGGCGUGGUGGCCAAAGCUGUCUUAUGCCCAGGACACAUAA